CACUUGUAUCAAUUGAAGCUGCCAGCUUGAUCUAAACUUUUCUUGUUUGUUCAGGGAAGGUCAGAUCAUAUGGCAGCUUCAUCUGACGCCUGU
rnacentral:miRNA from 1 species